rnacentral:lncRNA from 1 species
CAAACCAACAACAACAAAAUUGUGGUGUAAGGUCUCCCGAGUUUCGAGUUCCAUAUUGUGGGAAAGCCUAACGCGUGAGUCACAGUUACACAAACAACCGUGUCAAAUCCGCCUGUAGAUUACCUUGUGAUAAUCCGUCCGCCGUCCGCGUUGUUGUCUGUGAGUUUUGAAUUAGGCUGUAAAUUCAGUACAGAUGUGAUGGUUGGGCGUGGUUACAUUUUUGGAAGUUGUUCCUAUCCUGCCUACUGUCCAUAAAGAAUGUUUGGACGGAGAAUCGAGAGUUAAGAUGGAGCAGUGCAUGGCGAGACCAGAAGUUAAAAAGAAAAAAACAGCACAGCCAAGACCCCAAUCCACUCCUCCAAAGCCUCCAAAGCACUCCCCUGAGGUAUCGUCCAGUCUUCUGUGUGUGUGUCCUUCUCUGUGUGUGUGUCCUUCUCUGUGUGUGUGUGUGUGUGUGUGUGUGUGUGUGUGUGUGUGUGUGUGUGUGUGUGUGUGUGUGUGUCCUUCUGUGUGUGGUGUCCUUCUGUGUGUGUGUGUCUCCUUCUGUGUGUGUGUGUCCUUCUGUGUGUGUGUGUGUGUGUGUGUGUCCUUCUGUGUGUGGUGUCCUUCUGUGUGUGUGUGUCCGUACGCUGGGUUGUCUCCACCAGUUAUUCUGUUUUGUCUGAGUGUAAAUGCAUGCCACAGUAGGUAUUCACCGCAGACAUGGUAAACCGUGCUUCCCUAUUUCAGCUCAGCGGAAACCGCCCAGAGACACAGAGGAAGGAGAACCCAGUUAAGACACCAGCUGCUCCUCUCAAACCCAGUGAUGUGGCCAACAUGAACAGAAUCCAGAGGGUGAAGGAGACAACAGCCCAAACCCCAGUUAUCCCUCCUAGGCCAACAGAGAAGGAACUCAGUAACACUGUGUCAUUCAGACGGUAUCAGACAACAAGAACCCAGGAUAAUCAGCUUUCUAAAGAGAAGGACCCAGAAUUUUCUGAAAUAGCCAAAGAGGAAACAGAUUUCAGACAGGGGAAAGUAGCCAUGCUCACACAGAUGUUCCAGAAAGGUCCCAAUGAAGAAGCUCCUACUUUCAUAAGCUAUGUAUCAGACUCUAAUUCCCCGAAACCUAAAGAGAAGACUGAAGCUGAGAAACCCACCACUGAAAAUAAGAAGGGUGGACUCAAAGGAAUGCUGAAGUCCAAUCUGUUAAAAUCACAGACCAGCGUGGAGACCACUCUCUCUGCUGAGGAGCCCGAACCAGAGAGGGACCAGUCUGGUGAUGAGGUCGAACUGGAGAGACCGAAGGAGGGCAAACAUGUAAGUGUGUGUGUGUGUGUGUGUGUGUGUGUGUGUGUGUGUGUGUGUGUGUGUGUGUGUGCGCAUAUGAGUGGCAGAGAUGGAAAAGAGCCAGCAACUACCAGGUGGUGUUCAAGCCCUGAACUGGAAGUAAAUCCAUUCUCUGUGUUCUUUCAGGGGAAAGGGGGGUUCAUGGCUGGAAUGUUCAGAGGCAUCCAGAAAGAGAAGACAACCGCUCCUCUCGUAAGGGUGAGCCCAGCAAACAGUGACACAGAGAACGCAGAGGAGGCGGAACCUGUGGAAACCAAAGUAAGCAGAUCUACACUUUAA